GGAGGCAUAGCUUAAGUGGUAGAGUUUCUGCCUAGCAAGCAUGAGGCCCUGAGUUCAAACCCCAAUACUUCCA
rnacentral:tRNA from 1 species